rnacentral:rRNA from 1 species
GUACACUCCUGCGGGAGGCAGCAGUGGGGAAUAUUGGACAAUGGGCGCAAGCCUGAUCCAGCCAUGCCGCGUGAGUGAUGAAGGCCCUAGGGUUGUAAAGCUCUUUCACCGGAGAAGAUAAUGACGGUAUCCGGAGAAGAAGCCCCGGCUAACUUCGUGCCAGCAGCCGCGGUAAUACGAAGGGGGCUAGCGUUGUUCGGAAUUACUGGGCGUAAAGCGCACGUAGGCGGAUCGAUCAGUCAGGGGUGAAAUCCCAGGGCUCAACCCUGGAACUGCCUUUGAUACUGUCGAUCUGGAGUAUGGAAGAGGUGAGUGGAAUUCCGAGUGUAGAGGUGAAAUUCGUAGAUAUUCGGAGGAACACCAGUGGCGAAGGCGGCUCACUGGUCCAUUACUGACGCUGAGGUGCGAAAGCGUGGGGAGCAAACAGGAUUAGAUACCCUAGUAGUCC